rnacentral:rRNA from 1 species
UACAGAGGUCUCAAGCGUUGUUCGGAUUCAUUGGGCGUAAAGGGUGCUUAGGUGGUGACGUAAGUCUGGUGUGAAAUCUCGGAGCUCAACUCCGAAAUUGCACCGGAUACUACGUGACUCGAGGACUGUAGAGGAGAUCGGAAUUCACGGUGUAGCAGUGAAAUGCGUAGAUAUCGUGAGGAAGACCAGUUGCGAAGGCGGAUCUCUGGGCAGUUCCUGACAAUGAGGCACGAAGGCCAGGGGAGCAAACGGG